GUCUAUGGCCAUGCCACCCUGAACAAGCCCUAUCCUUGUCUGAUCUCAGAAGCUAAGCAGGGUCGGGCCUGGUUAGUGCUUGGAUGGGAGACCACCUAGGAAGACUAGGUGCUGUAGGCA
rnacentral:rRNA from 1 species